rnacentral:lncRNA from 1 species
UGUAGGAAAAGAAUAACAUAAUAUAUUUAUAAUUAUAAGUUAUUGAAAUAUUAUAAUUACCUCAUUUCAGACAGAAGUACAAGCGAACAGAUGACACAUUAAAGUGGCUGCAGAAGCUUGAAAAGUUAGAUAGAGCAGGGACAGUCAAAACUGUGGGAUAAUACGUCUAUGUAUUUUCUUUUUAAAGGCAACUUAUACAGGAUGGAAGGGGUGUCCAGCAUGUCUAGUCAGGUUGACAGAAGUGAAAGAUGGUCUGAUGGUACAAUGAUGUACAAAUGAUACUCUUUAACAACUUUAACAUGUCAAAGUGUAAAAUGUUCUGUGGAUUCAUAUGAUGAGAAUGCCAAUGUUGAUCUGUAUGACUUAAUUAAACACAGAUAUUUAUACCUUCAGAUAUAUACCUGUGAAAUCUUCAGUGUCACCGUUCAGCUAUUGUUCAAGAUCAGUGUCUGCAGCUUGCACAGUUUAGUAUAGAAGAGCCUUCUGAAUCAAUUUUGUUACAUAUUUGCUGUUAUUGUAGGACGCAUAUGUAGAGAGCAACAAGUCCUGUCCAACUGUGCAUGUAAAUGUGAUUCAGGAACUUUGAGAAUAUGUAAACAUUACACUGUUAUAAUUUACAAAAUACUGUGUCUUGUAGUGUAUCAGUACUGUUUUGUCUCAGUUUAUAGCACAGUAUGUUCACAAAUCAAACUUAAGACCAUAGUUAUCAGUAUUAUUAAAAUCAUUAAUUAUUUGUUCCUUCAUUAAUCUAAAAAGUGAUUGGUCAUUAUAAUUGCAAUAUCAUUUUAGUGUGACAAAGUUUAUAUUGAACUGAAACGCUAAUGUAAAUUUUUGAACUAUUCAAUGCAUUUUCUUCAGUCUUAAAACAUAUGUUUAUCGUACAUGUCAUGGCCCAUAACUCCUCCAUAUUACUUGUGUUUUGUCCUUUUUCGUUUCACUGAAGGAUAUGUAGAAGUAUUGCACAUCCAUUUUUAGCAUCCUGAUUUUGUAAAGUGUUGUAUGUAAGGUUUUAUCUCGGAAUUAUGUCUCAUCUAAAGGUGGGGAGAGGUAUUGUUUAUGCCUUCUCGUCUAUCCGCAUUAAGCCUGUCUGGCUUUAAGAGGACAAGUUGCUGGCCAGAUUUUGAUAAAACUUCACAGGACUGAACAGUACCAAGCAUAGUGUUGUGCAUAUCGAUUGCACGUUUCGUUUCGAUGCACUAAAUUGCAGCCAGAGCUAAAAGUAGAAAAAUCUUGUCGGCUUUCACAGGUCAAAACUACUUAACAGAUUUUGAUGAAACUUCACAGGAGUGAUCAGUAUCAAAUAUAUUUUUGCAUAUCAGCGACAC